rnacentral:rRNA from 1 species
AUUGAACGCUGGCGGCAGGCCUAACACAUGCAAGUCGGGCGAGAGGCGGACGGGUGAGUAAUGUAUGGGGAUCUGCCUGAUGGAGGGGGAUAACUUCUGGAAACGGUAGCUAAUACCGCAUACUCUUAGAUGUGCCAAGACGGGAUUAGCUAGUCGGUGGGGUAAUGGCUCACCUAGGCGACGAUCCCUAGCUGGUCUGAGAGGAUGACCAGCCACACUGGAACUGAGACACGGUCCAGACUCCUACGGGAGGCAGCAGUGGGGAAUAUUGCACAAUGGGCGCAAGCCUGAUGCAGCCAUGCCGCGUGUAUGAAGAAGGCCUUCGGGUUGUAAAGUACUUUCAGCGAGGAGGCGUUACUCGCAGAAGAAGCACCGGCUAACUCCGUGCCAGCAGCCGCGGUAAUUC